UGACCCUAAUGACAGUGUGGAGGAGUAUGACUCGGAUGCCACCGUGGAGAACCUGAUACCCGGUUCUCCUGACCCGUGGGCUUUUGGACCGAGGCCGAGGCAGAGGCCUCUCAAUGACACAGCGGUUGAGGACCUUCUGCUGGGACCCUGGGAAGUGUUGGAGGCUGCCAUCACGGGUAUGCCUCUACCACCGUCUCCAUCACCGCCCCGGGCCGCAGCCCGCAGGCUCCCUCU
rnacentral:lncRNA from 1 species